rnacentral:rRNA from 1 species
GCCAGUGGCGAUAGCACAUUGAAUGCAAUAGUUCCUGAUGUAUCACUGAAGUUAAAUAACGUUGUGCGUGGUUGGUAUCCAGAUAGGUGACCAUCUGGGAGAUAGCGUGCCGGUGGGU